UACGAAGGGUGCAAGCGUUACUCGGAAUUACUGGGCGUAAAGCGUGCGUAGGUGGUGAGUUAAGUCUGUCGUGAAAGCCCCGGGCUCAACCUGGGAAUGGCGAUGGAUACUGGCUCGCUAGAGUGCGGUAGAGGAGAGUGGAAUUCCCGGUGUAGCAGUGAAAUGCGUAGAGAUCGGGAGGAACAUCAGUUGCGAAGGCGGCUCUCUGGACCAGCACUGACACUGGAGGCACGGAAAGCGAUGGGGAGCAAACAGG
rnacentral:rRNA from 1 species